UACGUAGGGGGCAAGCGUUGUCCGGAAUCAUUGGGCGUAAAGCGCGUGUAGGCGGCCCGAUAAGUCCGCUGUGAAAGUCCAGGGCUCAACCCUGGAAAGCCGGUGGAUACUGUCGGGCUAGAGUCCGGAAGAGGCGAGUGGAAUUCCUGGUGUAGCGGUGGAAUGCGCAGAUAUCAGGAGGAACACCGAUGGCGAAGGCAGCUCGCUGGGACGGUACUGACGCUGAGGCGCGAAAGCGUGGGGAGCGAACAGG
rnacentral:rRNA from 1 species